UUUUAAACCCUGAGGUUGACAAAACUCAGAUUAUUAUCAACUUUUUAUUGUUGCCUAUGUUAACAUCAGCCCUUUUCAAGGAAAUGAACUUAAAAAGCAGCCAAGUCUGCUGACAUAGUAUCGUCUGCUGAAAAUGCCUCUGGUCAUGGCUGCUUCUCUCAGUUUGGUUACAGGUACGUGAAUCAUUGCAGCAUUUUUCUCUUGCUUUCUCUGACCUUGCUGCUUUGGGUUUUUUUUUUUUUGUGUUUUGGGGUUUUUGAGCAGAUUCAUAGAGCAGAGUCAUGAAGGAGAUGUUGCAGCAGUCACCUGGGCUGCCAAGUAGCUCUGUGUUGCACACCUUGGACAAAGACCAUGCCUGCUCCAGGCCCUGUUAAAAGUUCCUGUUCUGUGAUUGCUGUUCCUGCUUGCUUGUGGACUGUGGGAGGCUGAAAGCUCUCCCAGGGUGGAACAACCUCAACAUGGGUCUCUGCUAUGUAGUUGUUAAUGUUUGAGCAUCCUGACUUAACAGUGCCAGGGCAAAUCCCUGCUCAAGUUAUUGUGUCGUCUUCUGUUUAUUUCUAUGUAUGAGGGCACUCUCUGCACAGAGGCAAUCUAAACUCACCAGGCUGAGAGAUGGUUUGCUGAAGGACCCAGCUGCAGCAGUUCUCUUCCCACCUGAGCUACCGCUCCCUUGUGGCUUGUCUUCCCAUGGUUCCCUCUGCUGUGCAGACUCAGGGCUUGUCCUGACCCUGGUUAAGGAGAGAGCUGAGAGCUCUCAGAUGCUUCUGGCUUCACCAGCGCAAACACAGGGUACACAGCAGGAGAACAUCUGCCUACAGGGCAUACUGUGGACUGGUAACGCUUGAAUAAUUUCUGCCUGCUCCUCUGGUGCAAAGUGGACAGAUCCCAACCCAGCAUACAGCAAAGGCAGAUGCUGGAUUCUCUUCUAGCAGAGUAAGUUACCCUUGAAUACAGCUCCUUCCCAUCCUGGAGGAAGCCUUUGCUCUGUGGAGGAAGGGCAGCAGCCCAGUACUCAGGCAAACUGUGUGCUAUGGAGGAUCUCUGUGGAGUAGAGCCCCAUGUUUGGAGGCUUUGGACCCAGUGCGAUUGUCCCUAGGCAUAAGAGGGUCAGGAGGGGAGCUGACAUCCAAAUGCAGAUGUUAAUCCCCUGUAUAAAGGAAAAACUGGUAUUUGGGGAAAUUUCUCUCUUGCAUAUCUAGUCCCAGCCUUGAACUGUCCUUCUCGAUCCCACAGAGUUACCCUCUACCCGAUUUCUUCUCUCCCAAAGUUUAACUCUUCUAGAAGAGAGGCUCAAACGUGUUUUCUGUUUGUGCAUGGUUAGGCUAAGCAGAGCCAUUCAGACAGGCUAAGAAAAGCCAGCCAAGCAGGACAGAGAAAAGAAAGCCUUCGUGUGCUUUGUGGAUUGCUCUCAUGGUUGGUGAAACUGGCAGGACAGGAAAAAAAACCUGUGCUUGUCUGUGUGUAUGUGGAAAUCUCCGCAGCUCCAGUCUAGACCUUCCCUGCUGUUCAGGGAAUGAGGGAGACUGCAGCCGGAGCAGCGAGGCUGGGUGAAAUCAUAAUAGCCCCAUUGACAUCAGCCUGCACUCGGCGGGUGUGCAGACCCAACACCCUGUCAGGGGAAAUGUCUCGCACUCGCGCUGACACUCUGCUGUGACUGCAGGACCCUGGCUAACACCAAUUGCACUGCUUUCUUAUGCAACAGCCCAAAUACCAAUCAAAACACUUCCUCUGAGCUUUAAGUAGAUCCAGGAGAGCUGCAGAUCAGAUGUUGUAUAAGUAAACAGCACUUCAGUACCCCAUUUAUACAGAAACAUGUAUGAAUUAUGGUGAGAGUAGCUUUUCCUUCCAUAGUGCCAUCAAUGCUCUCCACUUCUGAUGUGAGAAAAUCACAUACGCUACCCUGGAGACUGAAACACGUCGAGCUUGGCCAAAGAUGCCUGCCGCCUCCCCUCCUCGGGAUACUGAGACAUUGUACAGAAACAAUAAAAGCAGCACCUGGCACCACUCCCCCCCGCCAUGGCACAGGGACACGGGAUGAAUGCAGCUCGAGACUCGGUUCUCAGCAGAUGGACGUAGCACAGUGAUGGCUUCAGGAGCCUUCAGAGUCAUUUUGGCCCCGGUGACCAGGAUUGGAUCAUGUGUCCCUGAUUUUCUGAGCUGCUGCUGACUUUUAAGACCUGCUGCAUGGCUAACUGAUGGAAAAUAAAACCUUUAUAAGCGCUACCGGCAGCAAGGGUGGGUGAGGAGCUUAUUAUGAAAGCCAUAUACGGCAUUCUGGCCUAUGCUACAGCUGCGUAUUUCAGUUGUGCUCUGCAGACUUUGCCCCUGCAGACUGAUGGAAUAUGGCUAGAUGGAGCAUGGAUUCACUUUCUAAAGGAAAUGAGGAUAUAAAUUCAUUUAAGAAAUGACAUGCCAAUUUUUCUUGCUCUGUUUUCCUCUCAUAAUAAACAGCACAGCUGCCAGGAAUUUUUGUGAAAAUAACUCUUGUUUCUUCUUUUUUCUUUUCCUUUUUUUUUAAUCCUGCUCAAACAUUAUAAAAGACCCAGAGCCAGAUAUGUCAUAGGUAAGAUCUCAGCAGAGGUAAACCUCACUGAUCAAAUGGAGAGCUGUCCCUGUCCCCACUGACUGCUGACAAGGAUAGUGAUACAGGCUGCAACGUUACUUCCUCAAAACUUGGAGAAAAUUUAUAACCCAUUUACUUAAUGGACUGAGCUAUAAUGUCAUCAGUUAAGUGAAUCCUGUGAAUAAAGAACAAGAUGAAGUAAUUGCUUCCAAAACAUUUCUGGAAUGAAGUAAAGCUUCACAGUGACUGGUCUCUUGGGGUCCCAUUGAUAACCUCUUCUGAGCAAAGUUUGUUCUUUUGUGACACAGAGAUCCUUUCCCAGCUGUUAUUAAGGACUUAAUUCACUAGCCAGGGUUAAAGGGGGCAGGUUGAUCUAACCUCACUGUGCUUGGGCUUCGGGAUUUUCAUCUUGGUUUGGUUUAAAACACAGCAGCUGGAAUAAGGGCCCCCUCUAACCACGCUGAUUAAAAUUGUCACAGAGGCUUAGUGCCAAGUGCCGUUAAGCUUGUAAGGGGGUAUAAUAAAGUCUUAAUGCCUCCAGAAUACACUGGCCUAAUGAUGUGAGCACAACUCCAGAAGUCAAGCCACUUGACAUGGGUCCCGUGAGCACUGUGCAGAGCUGGGAGGUCGUUACUAGUGUGUGUACCCCAUGCUGGUGGUGCAGGCUGAGAUACAUGUAUCUUUAUGAGGCUGGCACUUGUGGCAAUGCAGAUCAGCACUGGAAGAGCCAGGGACCACCUCCAUGGGAACAGUGGCUGUUCCUGCCACUAGGAUCCAAGCCUCAUGCUCCUGCACACACACAGGAUGCUGCUGGCUUCAGCCUGUGACCCGGAGCUAUGCUGUGCACAAUGUGCACAGCUUUGAACACCAGUCCCAUGCCUCCUGCUCUUCACUUUGCCUCCUUCCCCCUGUGUGGCCAGAUUCUGCAGGAGAACAAUCUGACCUGUGCAAACCAGCAUGUGUGCAUGGUGUGUUUUAGCUGUAUUUCUGGAUGUGCUGAGCACCUGUAGGUCAUAUGCACAGUGGUUAUAAACACAGCCAAGAAAUGACACAGAAAGCUGGGGUGUGAGUCCCAUCUGAGACAGUUUCAAAACAAGUGAAGAAACUGUACGGGUCUGAUGUUGCAAUCAUCACUCCUUGACUGCUGUGGGACACCAGCAGAAGCAAGGUCUGCAGCGCUUGCAGCUUCUCUUCACUUGGCUUCGGGUUUUUUUCCUGAAGAGGCAAAUACACUGGAGAGAAAAGGCUGGUAUGGCAAGCCCCAGCCAAGCAGAAAAUUAAGGCUUACCUGUCACUGAGUAGCUUGAUGAUCCAUCUGUAGAGACCCUCUCUGUGCUCCAAGAUUUCAGGGCUGUUGAGUCCCUGAGAUCUAGGUCUAGGUCUUUUUCUGAUAGUGAAAAGAAACAACUGUUAGAAGUGAUGCUUUUGCAGUGCACAGGGUAGAAAUGCUUCCCUGAAUCUUUGCAGCUUUUACUAGGUUGGAAGGGACAUCUGGGGGUCAUCUAGUCUGGGUCACAUAAAAUAAUCACUUUAGCCCUGUUUUUAGAGGUUUCUGCCUCUGUAGCCACACAAACAGCUAAUCUGGCCUUUGGCACAACGAAUUAGGCAGAAAUUUCCAGCUCCAGAGCAAAAGCAAGACAGAGGCAAGAGGUAGGUCAGCCACGGGCAGGACAGUUCAUUGCCUUGUGGCAGAUCCAUUUGGCAAGGUUCCCACCCCUGAUUCCCAUCUUCCCUCCUGUCCCUGCUGCCGAAGGUCGUGGGAUCCUCGCGGUUGUACAGAGCGCGAAACCAAGUGUUUGUGUGGCUGUGCUCCGGGGGUCACAAUCCUUGGGGAGCAGGGGCAAGAAUGGGAAUGAGAAUUGUUCACCAGCUGUGCUUACAGAGCAAAAUUAGCAGCCCUCCCUUGUUCCUAACUCUCCUUCCUUAUCCUUUGCACAAUGCCCCUAUCUGCCCUCCUCAUGUGAUCUCUGUAUUUCCCUCAGCAAUUUUAUUUGCACAAUGUUGGGUUUUUUUUCCCCACAUGCUUAUUUUUCUGGCUACUUCACGUUGGCUGAAAUCUUUAGUUCUUUCCAUCUGACUUAGAGGUUUCUGGUCUUGCAAUUACUCUGGAAAAAAAUGUAAGUUCUUAAUUACAUGCAACAACUGGAAGGGAAGAGAAAAAGGAAAUACACAAUCACAUUCCUUUUGUUUGACAGAAAGGAGAGCCCUGCGGUAGAAAACACACAAAAAUGGGUUUCAUCAAGAGAUCCGGAUUCUCUUCCCAUCCCAGUGCCUUGCGUGAUUUCCAGCCAGUGCCUCAUCUCUCCAAACCCCCUCAUCUACCUCCUGCUAUUCUGUUUUGCUUUUCUUUCAUAUUUAUUGUGGUAGUGAGCAGUGUAGGGCAGGCACCAUCCAACCUACAAAGUGUCUGUGUCAGCUCACAAAGCACUUUUCCCGUGAUCCCUUUGCACUCAGUGGGGAAGAGAGACACCUCAGAAUGAUUCAGAUCUUAAGUGGGAUAAAUCACAGCUCUUAAAAACCCUUUUGCUCUCCAUUAGCUGCACUGGGAACCUAAAACUACUAUGUUGGUAACCUGGACAAAGAAAAGCUAGCAGGAACCUACGCAGCCUGGAGCAUAUGCAGUGUUUAUCACAAGCAGCUCAGCUGAAAACUUUAACACCUAACUAUAGCAAAUUAUAAUGCUAGGAAAAGCUACUUUUCCUGGGUUUCUUUCACACAAAGAAUCUCAUUGCUGAAUAUCACUAUCAAAGCAGAGCAGAAAUUACUUGAGCUCGUUUUUCUUUUUUUUUUUUGUGUAAUAGCAGUGAAGGACUACAGGCAAAAUCAAGCACUUGUUCUGGGAAUAAAUAAAAGAGCAGAGGUCUUUGUUAGAGCCACCCAUAUGGAGACUCAGAGGAAACUUAAAGCCUGAUACUUUGUUUGCAAGGCGAAGAAGAAGAAUGAAGAUGCAGUGGUUGUGGAGGGGAGUUUGCUCAGUCAGGUUAUUCUUUAGUGGAAGCGAAUACUGUGAUGAGAGUGCCUCAUUGUAGCUGACCUAGGUGGAAGAAUUACCUUGAAAGGGAAAGAAACUGCAUGGUGUUUAACUACCUGGCUUCUGAAUGAAAAAAACCCUGUGGGAUUAAGAUAGAUAGCAAAAUGUUGAACACCAACAAAAAUCUCACUUAAAUUAAAAACUGAAACCUCUCAGUAGGCCAAAUGGUCUUUUGAAAUGUGUUUUAUCUGAGAACUGCAAUAAUAAUGGAGCAUGGAAGUCAGUAAGAGGUUUCUGAAGGUUCUGAAGGCUCAGAUGCAACUGCUGGGUGUGAGGAUGGAGGUCUCUUUCAGCUAAUCUGGUGAAGUCACCUCUCUUUGUCCAUCAUUUUCCCUACGUCACUGCUGCCUUCCUCCUUGUGCUAUUCCCCUUUAUCUUUGCUCCCAUUACAUUUUUUUUUUCCAGUUGGGUUAUUUUUGAUAGAUACACUUUUACGUCAAGAAAAGCACAUAUUAAUGAAGAUAAUCUGUCAUUUGCCACUAGGACUUUGUGUGUUUUGUUUCUCUUCCAACUGUGUGCUGGGAUCAGCUUUAGCUUCAGCUCUGGAAGAUGGGAGGUUUACCUUUCCUGCUGCCCUGUGCCUGUGCAGCUCCCAGCACCACAGAGCUCUAUUCUGCUGCCAUAAACCUUAUGAUGAACCACCAUGUGCUGAGCUGUAGGACUCAUCAGCCAGGAAGUGGGUGACAGUCCCUACAGUAGCUGUCCCAGCCACUGGUUAGCUAAAAUAGCAAUAAAAUGCUAAUAAUUAAUUUGCUAAAGCCUUUUCUCCUGGACAGAUUUCCUCCUCAGGCACCACCAUUUGCAGUGGUCCGUUCUUCAAAGGCUGCAUGUUUUUCACCCAACAGGGUAUUGAAUCCACUCCCUAGGAUGUGUUAGGUAUUUGUGCAAGCCCCGCGUCGAGGUGUUGUUGUUAUGGUAACUCUUCUGUAUUAAUCUUGAUUCCGCAUAUAGUGCAAUUAUGAAUGCUGGUGUUUUAAAAUAAUCCGAGCUGUCUGCAGCGCAGGGAGCCAGCAUUGCUCAGUAAGUCCUGCACAUCCACACUGAGGCAGAGCUGCUUUACCAUAUGUUGUUAAAAUAAAAAGUUGAUGAGGGAAAAUAGCACAUCAGAAAUAUUCCUGUGGAAAAUCAAUGGAGAAGUCCACAUUUCCCUCGAACUUUUCUCCACAGCUAGGAGACACACUCAUUUUUUCUUUCCUUUUAAAUUAAUUCAGCCUUGGUUCUCAGGUAAUCACGAGUCCAAAUAAGCAAGACUGUGCUGUGCUAACUGAAAUGAUUAUAUAAGCUGUGAUACUCACACAGAGGUGCUUUAGAAAAGCCCACGUUCACCAGGUCUGUCAAGGUCCAGAAAUUGUACAUCCGUGCCAGACCUUCCUGAGUUCAGGAUAUCCUCAGAAAAGCUAGGGGAGGGAGCUGGGAAGUGGAGAGGCACAUGGCAAGAGAUGGUUUCCCUCUGUGGUUAGUCUCGGGGUCCUUGGGUGAAGAGGCAGAGCCAACCAGAGGCCCAGGACAGGGCAAAACCUGCUGACCUUGACUGCUAUGCUUGAAGGGGACAGGGGAUGUGCUGCUUGCUUUCUCUAGCAGUAACUGACUCUGCCUCGAGGUAUGUGAUGGGAAGCUCACCUCAGGAAUAGCUCCUUCAAACCUGGCCAGGAAAGUGUUAACCUGUAUCUCUGUAGUAGAGGUGGUCCAAGCCAGCAUCCUGACCUGCAGAACCUAGUCUGCUCAAGCAGCAAGCAGUUUCUUCAGAUCAAAGUCUGAAUUUCACAGCUCUGAACUUCCUCUUAGCUUGCAGCCUCCAGCCCAAAGCCUCUUUGUCCUGGCCAGUUGCUCCCUCUGCCACCUUGGCCAUACACAGACCCUUCCUGCAAGGUUCUUGCUGAUGUUGCUGCAGCAGCCCACAGUGCAAGGACCUUGUCUUACCCCUUCCUUUUCCAGGUUUAAUGUGCUUUUCCUUUUUCUGGAUGACACACAGCUCAGAUCUCAGCACAAUAUUAAGGACACACAAAACCACUGAGGACCGUGGCUUCAGCAUCCACAAUUUGCCUCAAGGCUCCAAAACAUUUCCUGGACGUUGCCCAGGGGACUAUAAAUCCACUUCUACCUCUCCAGACUUUGAAGGACAGACGUUUUCUCUUGAAAAGACCUUCUCUGUUUUCAUUCCCUUCUUUAUCUGGGGCUGACACUUUAACACAGUAGAAGCAUCCAGGCACUAAAAACAAAGAGAAGCUCAAGUCCUUGACUUCUGAGACUUGCAGCCUGUGUUUAAGAGGGAAAAAACAAUCUAACAAACAGAGAAAGUGCUUUUACAGAUUUGUCUCUUUGGCUUUUCUAAAACAUGAAAUAGGCAGAGCACAGAUUAGUGGUUUCUUCCAUUUCAUGAGAUACUAAAAAAAGAGAGAAAUAUUCACAGAAUAAGAAGGAACGAACCAAAGAAACAAAAGAUUCAGUGUACAAGGUGUUCCUUCGGUUCCUUGGGAAAAUGUGCAGGGAGGCUGGAGAUUGUUUGUCUGCAUUGCAAAUCUUCACAUGGAGCUUUCCAAAAACAUUUCAUUUAACCACAUACUUGACCCUCCAUGUGGAUAAUGUGUCUCCAAAAUGAAGGGAGGAAAGGAGGAGGCAAGCAAGAAGAAAGGAACCGUCUUUGCUCCUAUUAUCUUCAAAGCCUGCCACGUUUCUGCAGGGUUUCUAGAUAAACUGUGAAGGAGAGCUCUCCCAUCCUUCCCCCCGCUCCGUCUGGUGGAGGCUGAUUUCACUUUCUAACCAUUUGCUGCAGCGUGUUUAUCAGGCCUCAGCUGCAAAUAAACCAGAUUACCCAGCUGGGCUGGCCUCAGCAGAGUAUUACCACUUCCAAAGACUGAAAUCAAGGCUUUUUGCUUCAUGUUAAAGUACUGAAUAAAGCAGAAACCAGUAAAAGAGGAGAGCAGUACGAUGGCCAGGCAUCCAAAGUGCUCUGAGCUGCAUGGGAUAAGUGGUAUCUCUUGCCAUGGGAAUUUCCCCUUCUUGGGCAACUUUGGGUGGAAAUGCCCUGUUUGAUUUUGCUGCUAACAAAGCUCCAUCCCUGGCGGUGUUCAAAGCGAGGUUGGACAGAGCCUUGGGUGACAUGGUCUAGUGUGAAGUGGCCCUGCCCAUGGCAGUGGGUUGGAAUUGGAUGAUCUUAAGGUCCUUUCCACCCCAACCUAUUCUAUGAUUCUAUGUGACCAUGAGCACUGCAAGUAGGAGGAUGCAGUCAGCAAUUGAGCUUAUUUCAGGUUAGUCAGUGGAAUCAGAAGUGAGGAAAGCAGUGCCCAGAGAGAGGGGAGCUGCAAGGACAUAAUUCAGCCCAAAAGCAGUUUGGAAAAGUCUGGAAAGCAGUUUGGGCAUUGGUUUGGAAAGGCUGCACUGGUCAUCCUAGCAGGCCUUGCCAUUCCCUUCCUAUAUCUGUGAGGGCUUCGCAGUCUCUGUAAGCCACAGCCAUUUAUUGACUCACUCAGAUAAGGACUUGGAGGAGUUUAUAUUUCAGGCAGCCAGGUUUGAAGCUCUUGGCCCUGGCUUUGAAGAGGAAAAUGAAGCUGGUCCUGAACACAGAGGGUGGUACUCACGUGGGUUUUUCUGUCGCCACCAUGUGAGACUAGCGCACGCAUGCAACAGGCACUGAGCCACAGCCACCAAACACAUCCAGACUGCCAGCUGGACUUCAACCAGACAUCCAAAGGUGAAAUCUUAUCUCCAUGCCUGAGAGAAAACAGGAGGAGAUGCAGAUGGUCCCAAUAAACCAUUGCAGGAAACAAAGUACACUUGAUAAGGAGCAAGGGAAAAGGAGGACGAGAAUUCCUAAUGUCAGUGAUUCUGUUAAAGACUUUGACCAUGCCUUAUGGGAAACUGCAAAGUUAAAAUAUAAAUAAACUGACUUUAAAACCUCAAUAUUGCAACAGUAGCGGCUGAGUUGAAUUUAAAUUACCUUCUGUAAUUCUUGGAAUGUCUAAGGCUCUAAGAAAGUGUGAUGUUUUUCUUACCUCUUACAUAACUUUUUUUUUGGUCAAAUUUCUGAAGCAGUGUAUUGAUUUUGUUUUGUUAAGGCAGAGAUUACCAUGCCUGUUGUCAGCUGCUUACAAAUGAGAUUCAAGGGCUGGGCAAAUUAGGGAUCUAACAGUUCAAAGAGUGGGGAUUCUUCUCAAUGUCAUGUCCAAGAAUCCCUUUUCUCAAAAGUCCCUGAGCAUUGAAGAAAGAAACGGAUGGAAGCA